rnacentral:rRNA from 1 species
GAUGAACGCUAGCGGGAGGCUUAACACAUGCAAGUCGAGGGGCAGCAUAGGGUAGCAAUACUCUGAUGGCGACCGGCAAACGGGUGAGUAACGCGUAUGCAACCUACCCUGUACAGGGGGAUAACCCGGAGAAAUUCGGACUAAUAUCCCGUAAUAAUAUCCGGAGGCAUCUUUGGAUAUUUAAAGUUCCGACGGUACGGGAUGGGCAUGCGUAACAUUAGCUGGUUGGUAAGGUAACGGCUUACCAAGGCUAUGAUGUUUAGGGGUCCUGAGAGGGUGGUCCCCCACACUGGUACUGAGACACGGACCAGACUCCUACGGGAGGCAGCAGUGAGGAAUAUUGGUCAAUGGGCGCAAGCCUGAACCAGCCAUCCCGCGUGCAGGAAGACGGCCCUAUGGGUUGUAAACUGCUUUUCCAGGGAGAGAAACUUACGCACGUGUUGCGUGACUGACGGUACCCUGGGAAUAAGCAUCGGCUAACUCCGUGCCAGCAGCCGCGGUAAACUACUCGUA